ACGUAGGUGGCGAGCGUUACUCGGAAUCACUAGGCGUAAAGCGCAGGUAGGCGGUUCGGUAAGUCUCUUGUGAAAGCUCCCGGCUUAACUGGGAGAGGCCAAGGGAAACUGCCGGGCUGGAGUGUGGCAGAGGUAGCUGGAAUUCCCGGUGUAGCGGUGAAAUGCGUAGAUAUCGGGAGGAAUACUUAUGGCGAAAGCAGGCUACUGGGCCAUUACUGACGCUGAGCUGCGAAAGCUAGGGGAGCAAACA
rnacentral:rRNA from 1 species